rnacentral:rRNA from 1 species
UACGGAGGGUGCAAGCGUUGUCCGGAUUCAUUGGGUUUAAAGGGUGCGCAGGCGGGCGAUUAAGUCAGGGGUGAAAGACGGUUGCUCAACAAUCGCAGUGCCUUUGAUACUGGUUGUCUUGGGUGACCUUGAGGUAGGCGGAAUGGGUGGUGUAGCGGUGAAAUGCGUAGAUAUCUGGAGGAAUACCGGUGGCGAAGGCGGCGUUCUGGACCAUUACUGACACUGAAUCGCGAAAGCUAGGGGAGCAAACGGG